rnacentral:rRNA from 1 species
GACGAACGCUGGCGGCGUGCUUAACACAUGCAAGUCGAGCGGUAAGACCCUUUCGGGGGUACACGAGCGGCGAACGGGUGAGUAACACGUGGGUGACCUGCCUUUAGCUCUGGGAUAAGCCUGGGAAACCGGGUCUAAUACCGGAUAUGACUCCGCGGCGCAUGUUGUGGGGUGGAAAGCCUUGUGCGGCUGGAGAUGGGCCCGCGGCCUAUCAGCUUGUUGGUGGGGUGAUGGCCUACCAAGGCGACGACGGGUAGCCGGCCU